rnacentral:rRNA from 1 species
GGCAAGAGCUCAAAUUUGAAAUCUAGCACCUUCGGUGUUCGAGUUGUAAUUUGAAGAAGGUAUCUUUGGAGUUGGCCCCCGUCUAUGUUCCUUGGAACAGGACGUCACAGAGGGUGAGAAUCCCGUGCGAUGGGGAGACCAAUUCUUUGUAAAGUUCCUUCGAAGAGUCGAGUUGUUUGGGAAUGCAGCUCUAAGUGGGUGGUAAAUUCCAUCUAAAGCUAAAUAUUGGCGAGAGACCGAUAGCGAACAAGUACAGUGAUGGAAAGAUGAAAAGAACUUUGAAAAGAGAGUGAAAAAGUACGUGAAAUUGUUGAAAGGGAAGGGCUUUUGAUCAGACUUGGUGUUUAGUACUCUCUGCUCCUUGUGGGUGGGGCUCUUGCUUUAUACUGGGCCAGCAUCGGUUUGGAUGGUAGGAUAAUGACAUUGGAACGUGGCUCCACUUGUGGAGUGUUAUAGCCCUUGUUGAUACUACCUAUCUAGACCGAGGACUGCGUCUUUGACUAGGAUGCUGGCGUAAUGAUUAAAAGCCGCCCGU